UACGUAGGGAGCAAGCGUUGUCCGGAAUCAUUGGGCGUAAAGCGCGCGUAGGUGGCCCUGUAAGUCCGUUGUGAAAGUCAAAGGCUCAACCUUUGAAAGCCGAUGGAUACUGCAGGGCUAGAGUACGGAAGAGGCGAGUGGAAUUCCUGGUGUAGCGGUGGAAUGCGCAGAUAUCAGGAGGAACACCAAUAGCGAAGGCAGCUCGCUGGGACGUUACUGACACUGAGGCGCUGAAAGCGUGGGGAGCGAACAGG
rnacentral:rRNA from 1 species